rnacentral:rRNA from 1 species
GAUGAACGCUGGCGGCGUGCCUAAUACAUGCAAGUCGAGCGAACAGACGAGAAGCUUGCUCCUCUGACGUUAGCGGCGGACGGGUGAGUAACACGUGGAUAACCUACCUAUAAGACUGGGAUAACUUCGGGAAACCGGAGCUAAUACCGGAUAAUAUAUUGAACCGCAUGGUUCAAUAGUGAAAGACGGUUUUGCUGUCACUUAUAGAUGGAUCCGCGCUGCAUUAGCUAGUUGGUAAGGUAACGGCUUACCAAGGCAACGAUGCGUAGCCGACCUGAGAGGGUGAUCGGCCACACUGGAACUGAGACACGGUCCAGACUCCUACGGGAGGCAGCAGUAGGGAAUCUUCCGCAAUGGGCGAAAGCCUGACGGAGCAACGCCGCGUGAGUGAUGAAGGUCUUCGGAUCGUAAAACUCUGUUAUUAGGGAAGAACAAAUGUGUAAGUAACUAUGCACGUCUUGACGGUACCUAAUCAGAAAGCCACGGCUAACUACGUG